AACAUACUCCCUCCGUCCAACAAAGGAUGUCUCAAUUUUUUCCAAAUUUGAAUGCAUCUAUACACUAAGUUAUGUCUAGAUACAUCCAAAUUUUGACAAACUUGAGACAUCUUUUGUUGGACGGAGGGAGUACAUC
rfam:Brachypodium distachyon strain Bd21 chromosome 1, whole genome shotgun sequence.